UACGUAGGGUGCAAGCGUUUGUCCGGAAUUAUUGGGCGUAAAGAGCUCGUAGGCGGUCUGUCGCGUCUGCUGUGAAAACUCAGGGCUUAACCCUGAGCUUGCAGUGGGUACGGGCAGACUAGAGUGCGGUAGGGGAGACUGGAAUUCCUGGUGUAGCGGUGAAAUGCGCAGAUAUCAGGAGGAACACCGGUGGCGAAGGCGGGUCUCUGGGCCGUAACUGACGCU
rnacentral:rRNA from 1 species